CCUUGUUUUGGACUCAGUUUGUUACUGUCCUACCUUUGCACUCCUUGCAGCUGGGGCAGUGGCACCUUUCUGUUAUUACCCCUGCCUCCAUUGUCUUGAGCCAGUGCAGUAGUGAAAUGGCUGUUGAAGUAUUAUAUAGUAUGGUCUAUGGUACACUAUAUGUUACACCUUAGCUGCAUCACCUAAGGAUCAGUUGGCACCGUAUCCUUUUGGGGUACAGCCUUUUGCUCUACAGCAUUUUUCCUACCACUCUCUGGCCCCUUACUCUUUUGACUGCAGUAAGAGGCCAAAAACUCUGUCUAUUUGCAUUUCUUUACUUUAAAAUUUCUUAAUGUAGGAGAAGUAAGUAAUGUAGCUAUUUAAUCCCUACUGUAUCUCUGCAAUAUCAGAUGUCUUGGAGCCACCCAUUGGAAAGUUGAGCCUUCUUUAAUGAACCUAAAAAGUGCCACACUCAGUCAGACCGAUGGCCUGUCUAGGCCCAACUUUCCAGCGUCUUUAGUAUGAAAAGUAUCCCUAAUCAAAAGUUAACUUCUAGCCUUCUUUGUCUCCUGUCAUCUUAAAUUAUAUCCACAGUAAUCAGAUAUGUGGUCUUUAAAACCAUGACCUCAUAGGUAUUUUUGUUAGAACCACAUUCCUGGACUAUGUUAUAGAUUAAUUUCUUGGCAAACAGUUCUCAGGGGGAAAAAAAGUCAUUGUCCCUGUUGAUCAAGAGAAUCAUGCCAGAAUCUCCAGUGCCAACAAUUGUUUAAAUGUAAUUAUAGGUAACAUAAUUCUAAGCCAGUUUGUGCAGAGGUAAGCUAUCCUAUAAAGGUGACAUGUAUCAUGGCAUCCCUGAAACUAUACCCUGUGGCUGCCUAUUCACAUGCUCUUUGGUGUUCUAAUUAGACUGCUGCAGUGUCAAUAUAGUGUCACAUGUAUUAAGCCCCGAUACAUUUUUAAAUGGCCACAGGGUGCUUUAACUAAACCUCAUCGACUGAGGUUUGAAUAAAGCAUCCUGCAGACAUUUUUAAGCAUGCUGGGGCUUAAUACAUGUAACAGUGAGACAUUUUAAUUAGAGCGGCUGCCCAAGAACUGUUCUAAUGAAAAUGUGCCUUCCCACAUCAGAGUACAUGUAUAAGCAGCCAUCAUGUUCUGCCUAGCACUCUAAAAGUUUAUAAGGAAAGACAAUCAGAAGGUGAUACCAACAAGCAUAAAAGGUUUGGGGUGAAGCACUCAAUGAUUUCUAAUAGCUCCUUCAAUUGGAAUCCAAUGAAUAGGGAUGGGAAAUGUCUCUUCUGCCUUAAGAGCCCUUUCAUGUGGAGUCCACCUGGGCUCAGCUGCAUCUCUUGUCCUUUUCCAUGUAUAAAUGAGCCUCACUGGAGAUGCCAGGAGAUUGGUGGAACCAAUAUGUUGUCCAUCAAUAUGCUGAUGACACCUGGUUUUACAUCUCAUUUUCAGCAGACAGAAACAGCAGCAAUUGCCAGUGCCUGUAAGAGAUAAGCAUAUGGUUGAGAGGCAACUGACUCAAGAUUAAUCCAGUUGUCUGGAUGUGUGAUUUUGUGUGUGAACACAAUACCACUGAUCCUCCCAAAGCCAUCAUCCGUUCAGCAAUCUUCCCACUAAAGAGGCCCAGUACUGAAUUGGAAGGAACUGUAACUACUCCAGUCAUUAGGGGCACCCACACUGACCCCAGGAAUAGAGCUGACCGGCUCAAGGGGGUUCCAGGCCUAGGGCCCAAGCUGACUGACCAUCCUUCCCCAAGGAGCAAGGGGGAUACAGUCUAAGGCACAAGGAAGCGGCGAUACCAUAGAGCACUCAUGAGGAACAUCCACACUGGAGGGGCGGCCAUUUCAAGACCUGGCAUCCCACCAGAGGCUGGUGUAGGGGAG